rnacentral:rRNA from 1 species
GACAAACGCUGGCGGCGUGCCUAAUACAUGCAAGUCGAACGGUCCUACUUCGGUAGGAUAGUGGCGGACGGGUGAGUAACACGUAGAUGACCUGCCCUAAAGUGGGGAAUAACAUCUCGAAAGAGAUGCUAAUACCGCAUAAGCUCUCUUCUGUUGGGAGGAGAGGAAACCUUUCUCGUAAGGGACGGGGCUUUUGGAGGGGUCUGCGGCGGAUUAGCUAGUUGGUAAGGUAACGGCUUACCAAGGCGACGANCCGUAGCUGGUCUGAGAGGACGACCAGCCACACUGGGACUGAGACACGGCCCAGACUCCUACGGGAGGCAGCAGUGGGGAAUAUUGGACAAUGGGCGCAAGCCUGAUCCAGCCAUGCCGCGUGAGUGAUGAAGGCCCUAGGGUU